CAUAUGACAGGAAUCCCUCUUUUACUACUGUCACGAGACGCUGAGCUAGCACAGCAGGCCAGUGGUCACCAGCAUGGCUUGACAAGUGGUGCCAUGUCCGCCCCCAGGAUCCGAACCGGUGAACUCCGGGCCACGGAAGUGGAACGUGCAAAAUUAACCGCUGAGCCACCAGGCCGGCCCCAGAACUGGGAUAUUUUUAAAAAGGAAAAUUGAAGGUUCACAAAAACAGUUUAUACGUGGGACGCCUACCACAGCAUGGCUGCCAAGCAGUGCCAUGUCCGCACCCGGGAUCCGAACCAGCGAACCCCGGGCCGCCGAGAAGCGGAACGUGCGAACUUAACCGCUGCGCCACCGGGCCGGCCCCCUUGGGCUACAGCAAUCUUAGUUUAAAACUAUCCUCUCCGCAAAGAAGGCCCCACAGACUGCAUGAUUUCUUUAUAUAAAAGUGGGCAAACUGAUGUAUGAUGAUCAAUUAAAAUAAUGGUCACCCUUUGGGGAGAACUAACCCUGAGAGACCGCAAAGGAGCCUUCUAGGUGCUGGAAAUAUUCCAAAUCUUGAUGCGAUGGUUACAGCAAUGUCUACAUAUGUAAAAUUUUUCAGGCUGUGUGGUGAAGAUUUAUGUGCUUUUAUCAGUAACUCAUAUAAGGAAACAGACUUAUUAUCCUCUCUAAAUUCUUGCUAUCUGUGAUAUUAUAGUUUAUAAUGAGACACAUAUAUUUGUGCUUUCCGGGCACAGAGCUCCUAAAGCCUUUGGCAUUUCCUAAGUGAGGAGAAUGAUAAAGACGUCUUUGUUAUGUUAAUGAGGUGACUUCUGGCAUGCCCCUAAGUCACCUAAGGAUGGGGGCUGGUUGCCAGGGGAACCAACCAUGUGAUUAGAGAGUUGGAACUUUCAGUCCCAUCCCCCAGACCUCCCGGGAGGGCAGAGGGGCUGGAGGUUGAAUCAAUCACCAACGGCCAAUGAUUUAAUCAAUCGUGCCUAUGUAAGGAAGCCUCCAUAAAAACCCAAAAAGGACAGGGUCCGAAGAGCUUCCUGGUUGAACACGUGGAGAGGUGGGAAGAGCUGUGCGCCUGGAGAGGGCAUGGACGCUCCGAGACCCCGCCCGGACGUCUCUUCCGUCUGGCGGUUACUGAAUUAUAUCCUUUUACAAUGCACCGGUGAUCUAGUAAUUCUGGUGGGCGAAGACUGUCAUGGCUAGAGGAGCUGGGAUUCCACUGCUGAACCAACAUGCCACUGGAGUGAAAUCCUCAGCUGUGCCUUCAUGCCCGUUCCUGAUCAUUUCAAAAUUUCUCCACUAUUUCUAGGGCCGGCCUGGUGGUGUAGCAGGAGUAAAACAUGGCCUCCAGGAGGCUGUUUAUUAGAAGAUUCUGGUUCAAGCCCCAUGCCAGCUUAGCACGGCAACCCACUCAGGCUCGCCAUUCUUGUGUCCUGCUGCUUCUGCUUCUUCAAUGAUGUGGACCAGGCAUGCUGAGACCUCAGUGAUAUGGACUAGCAAAGUGGAAGAGGAGCUGAGAACCAUCAAGGCCAAGACCAAGAGAGCAAAUUUGAUCACACACUUGGUCCUAGGGAAGUGUAUUUUGCAUUUUUAAACAGAACAUUUUCCAUAACUGAACCUUUAAACAUGUUGGUAUAGUCUAUGCACCUGUUUUUCAAGAUGAAGAAAGACAUAAUAUUCUGCAGAAAAAUGUCCCCAAUUCAGAGCCCAUCAUUUGCUUUACCUUUUUAUAUCCAAACAAGGUUAGAUAAUUCCAACUGUAUUUUAAGAAAUAUCCUUUACAUAGGGGAUUUGCACUGAUCUGAUCUUGACAUCGUGUGGACAGGGGUGUGCCAACACAUCUAGUCUGGAUCAAGAAAAAAAUAUUUUUAAAGGAUGAAGGAAAUCUAUUUGGGUUGUAAAGAAAUCAUAACUUUGAAAUUUUUUUUGGAUUAUAUCACAGUUUGCUCAUAUAUGCAUUUUACUUAGCAUUUUGAAAUAUACCAACUGAAAUAUUUAUUACUAGAUUUAAUAGCUUGGAUUUACUAGGAAAGGAAGAAAAGCCAGAUGAUACAAGUUUAAAUCAUCUGAAACGGGUAUUGCAGAAAUUUUACUGGUGCAGUUGGAAAUGGAAACCACUCUAGUUAUGCCAAGCAGGAAGUUAUUUAACACAGGGAAUUAGACGCUCACAUAAUCGUUGGAAGGGAUGGAGGAGGAGGAGUCUGGAGGGGCCGCCAUGGUCUUUCAGAUCACACUGAUGGAACUGAGAUCCAAAGAUGAGGAAAGUCCAGAAAACUCCAGAAAAGCAUCUAGUUCCAUGCCCUCCUCUCCACAAAGCUGGUGUCUAAACAGUGAUGUGGGGAAUCUGGCCACUGCAAAAAUUCAUUUCUGUUAAGAACUAUCAGCAACCCCUGCUACAAGAUGAUUUGUCUCUCCUCCUCCAUCCAAAUCUCACAUGAAUUGAUGGAACUUAAAUUGUAUCUAGUUAGCGGAAGGCUGUCUGGGAAAUAAAAUUUUCAACCCUCUAGCCCUCAUAAUAGAAGGAGGAAUGCCAAGUGCUAAUUGACAAUAUCUGGGACUGAAGACAUAUAUACGCAUUUGGAAAUACCAUAUGUAUAUAUGUUAUGUGGUUUAGCAUGUCCCAAAGAAUAUUUUAUGGAACAUUCAUUCGGCAGGUAUCAAUCAGGAAGAAACGGGAUUCAUGAUGAAAAGGGUCUAGGGAUCCUUGCAUGCCCAUCUUUUGGAGAGUCGCGGGGCAUAUUAGCAUAUUAAAGAUCUUGAGAAGGCCUACAGCAGAGAAGUCCUCUUUUCCUGUCUGGAGGGCACACAAUAUACUAUAACAGUGGUUGUCUCUGGGAAGUGGAAAUAGGGCAUCAAUGACCGUUACUUGCCACUUUCUACCCUUCUAAACCAACAGGAUUUGAUACAAUGGUGAGAAAUUUUCAUCUUUUAUAAAAAUAAGGUUUGUUUUCCUUCUAAGGUUCAAAUAAAAAUUUUAGGUGUAAAAGCUGUGGGUGUGAGCCCCAUGGAUGAAGGAGCCCGUGUGCUUUUUACACCAGAGGAACAAUACGAGUGUUUUCAAAGUGAGAUCUUUGGACUCCCUGUAUCAGAAUCCCCUGGGGGAAGAGUGG
rnacentral:lncRNA from 1 species